AACGUAGGAGACAAACGUUAUCCGGAGUUACUGGGCGUAAAGGGCGUGUAGGCGGUUUGUUAAGUUUGGCGUGAAAGCUCUCGGCUAAACCGGGAGAGGUCGUUGGAUACUGGCAAACUAGAGGACGGUAGAGGCGUGUGGAAUUCCGGGUGUAGUGGUGAAAUGCGUAGAGAUCCGGAGGAACACCAGUGGCGAAGGCGACACGCUGGGCCGUGCCUGACGCUAAAGCGCGACAGCAUGGGGAGCAAACGGG
rnacentral:rRNA from 1 species